rnacentral:rRNA from 1 species
CCUACGGGUGGCAGCAGUAGGGAAUCUUCCACAAUGGGCGAAAGCCUGAUGGAGCAACGCCGCGUGGGUGAAGAAGGUCUUCGGAUCGUAAAACCCUGUUGUUAGAGAAGAAAGUGCGUUAGAGUAACUGUUCACGUUUCGACGGUAUCUAACCAGAAAGCCACGGCUAACUACGUGCCAGCAGCCGCGGUAAUACGGAGGUGGCAAGCAUUAUCCGGAUUUAUUGGGCGUAAAGGGAACGCAGGCGGUCUUUUAAGUCUGAUGUGAAAGCCUUCGGCUUAACGGGAGUAGUGCAUUGGAAACGGGGAGACGUGAGGGCAGAAGAGGAGAGUGGAACUCCAUGGGUAGGGGUGAAAUGCGUAGAUAUAUGGAGGAACACCAGUGGCGAAGGCGACUCUCUGGUAUGUAACUGACGCUGAGGUUCGAAAGCGUGGGUAGCAAACAGGAUUAGAUACCCCAGUAGUC